rnacentral:lncRNA from 1 species
CUUAACCAAGCCUGAGAAAGGCCGUUGUGGGAGUCCCUGCUUGGAGCUGAGAGGGGAGCACGGGCGAGUUCGGAGCCGCGCCAUGGAAAUUUCAGGGAGGAUUAACUGAGGUGAGAAGACCCCCGUCGUCUUACAGUAGGUGGCACUUUGAGAAGGAAGUCCACAGAAGGAGCAGUGUUUGUUCCUGCUUGCCUUCACUUCUUGCUGGUGAGUGCAUCUGCCCCAUUGCCACUGCUGCUGCCACCCUUCCCUGACAUUGGAGCCAGUGUCUUGGGCCUCCAGUGUGGACUGAAGACCACUGAAGAAGCUUCCGGGCGUCUUCUGAGCCCCUAGUGCCAGAUUGGAGCUCCCGAGGCUUCCAGCCCUGUGGAUGGAGCCUCUCCAUCAUGGAGACCCCCAUUGUUGGACUAUCCCGGCCUGAUCAGGUAAGUUGUAAAUUAGAUAAAGUAAUAUAUUAAGUUCCCUUCUUAUUUGCUCUUUUAUUUCUGUCCUCAAGAGAAUACUGACUCAGGUAGCUAGACCUGUGUCAUUCUGUUUUCUUAUAUGUACCUUAAACAUAGUUUAAAGUCAUCAUUCUCUUAUUUAAUUUGUGUUUUUUUUAUUUUUAAAAACUUUUUUAUUGGUUCUUUGGGAAUUUCACAUUAUACACCCCAAUCUCACUCAUCUCCCCAUCCCUCCAUAUCUAUGCUCUGUCCUUGCAAACCCCCACUCCUAAAGAAAAGAAAGGAAAACACAAACAAGACGAUAUCACCACGGAAGCUGCCCCAUGUGCACACUUGUCUAAACAGCUUCCCUUGCAGUGGUCCAUUUUCUCAAAGGAAGAAGCCACUGGCCCACUGGCACUUGUAUUUGUUACUGGCUCUGUUGGUGUAACUCACCCUUUCCCAAGGAGCAGGGACAGCAACUGCCUUUUGAGUCUCCAGUUCUGCCUCUCUUCAUAUAGCGUGCUUCAUACCAACAAGAAAUGUCACUAGAAAUUUGGGGAGUUCUGUCGGAUUUGCACAUGGGAAAUUUUAGUCUCAUUACUAAGAAGAAUUUAAGGGUGACUGAAGAGAUGGGUCAGUGGUUAAGAGCAGAGGACCCAGAAUCAGUUCCUAGAACUUACAUGGCAGGUCACAACUGCUGUAACUCUAGUUCCAAGGUAUCCGGUGCUUGACCUCUGUGUGCACUUGCAUGCACAUGGUGCACAUACACACACAUGCACACAUAUAGGCAUACACACAGAGUGAUUUUUUGGAAGGAUUUAAGAGCUGUCUCAAAGCUUAAGGACAGUUCUAUCUAUGAAUCUAAAAGAAAUCCUCAGGACUGACAAGCUGUAAGUUCUGGCAGCUAUUGGGAAGGGGAGAUGGAUAGGAGAAG